rnacentral:lncRNA from 1 species
CUCAAGGUAAAUAUUUAGUAGACACAAAGUCGCUUUUGUUAGGAACUAUAUUUCAGAAAGAUUCUAAAUAUAAUACUCAUAAAAAAGAUAAAAACGCUUUUGUUUGUCUUUCAUGAUCUCAAGAAAUGAUAUAGACAAUUCAAAAGGUCCUCUAUAAAUGGGUAUUAAACCCAUUUUUGGGGCUACCCAAAAAUACCGUUCUGGAGUAUUAACGCUCGGGUGUGGCUCCCAACUUGUUCGGAAAUUUUUGAAAGAGACUCUCAUUUUUUUAUUGAUCCCUGCAUCCACAGAAAAAUGAUUAGUUUAAGUGAAACUACUCCGUAUUAACCUUCUUCGAUCCUUGACUUACUCCUCGCCAUUUUUCGGGUACUCCGUCAUGUUGGGACUUCCACCCUGACUCCUUGCUCCAAUAGAUUCCUAGGCAAUCACUAAGUAAAAGAUUUGUAUAGAUUUUGAAAGUAGUCUUAAUUUUAGAAAAUAGUUUCGCAAGUUUCUAAAAACAUUUAGAAAAUCACUGCCAGUCAUGUUAUGUACUAGCUCAACAAACGCCUUCCUCUUGGUUUUGACUAUAUUCGAUGGAGGAUUUCCAAAACUCAUCAUCUUUGUUGGAGGGUUCUUCAAAUAGUUCGGUCAUAGCCAGAAAUUUAGUCUACCUAGACUUUGUCGCAGCUGGUGACUUCAAAAGAUUGACUUUGACCACUGGUGCCGGGGAAUUUGAAAUAUAUUCCAGUGUUUUGGUAGAAAUUUUGAGGCCUUCCUCAAAAUUUUUGCCCCAGUUUAAAGUUGUCUGAGAUGAUAUCAACUCGAAAAGAUCCGAAGUCUUUGUUGAUUUUCGUUCUCUUUGUUAGAUGAUGAUCUUCCUCUUGUGAAUUUUUGAGAUUCUUUCUCAAAAAUUCUGCCCCAGUUUCCAUUUCCUGAGGUUAUAUGACCGAGUCAUUGGGGCGCCUACGUAUCCCGUUGAUGCAGGAAUCAGGUCAAAUGUAGUUCAGAACUAUGCUAAGGAUAUAU